rnacentral:rRNA from 1 species
UACAGAGGUCUCAAGCGUUGUUCGGAUUCAUUGGGCGUAAAGGGUGCGUAGGCGGCGCGGUAAGUCGGGUGUGAAAUCUCGGGGCUUAACUCCGAAACUGCAUUCGAUACUGGACGGCUAGAGUCUGGUAGGGGGAUCUGGAAUUCCUGGUGUAGCGGUGGAAUGCGCAGAUAUCAGGAGGAACACCGGUGGCGAAGGCGGAUCUCUGGGCCUUACCUGACGCUCAGGUGCGAAAAGCUAGGGGGAGCGAACAGG